rnacentral:rRNA from 1 species
AGUGAACGCUGGCGGUAGGCCUACACAUGCCAGUCGAACGGCAGCACAGUAAGAGCUUGCUCUUACGGGUGGCGAGUGGCGGACGGGUGAGGAAUACAUCGGAAUCUACUUUUUCGUGGGGGAUAACGUAGGGAGACUUACGCUAAUACCGCAUACGACCUACGGGUGAAAGCAGGGGAUCUUCGGACCUUGCGCGAUUGAAUGAGCCGAUGUCGGAUUAGCUAGUUGGCGGGGUAAAGGCCCACCAAGGCGACGAUCCGUAGCUGGUCUGAGAGGAUGAUCAGCCACACUGGAACUGAGACACGGUCCAGACUCCUACGGGAGGCAGCAGUGGGGAAUAUUGGACAAUGGGCGCAAGCCUGAUCCAGCCAUACCGCGUGGGUGAAGAAGGCCUUCGGGUUGUAAAGCCCUUUUGUUGGGAAAGAAAAGCAGCAGGUUAAUACCCCGCUGUUCUGACGGUACCCAAAGAAUAAGCACCGGCUAACUUCGUG